rnacentral:lncRNA from 1 species
GAGAAAUAGUCUUGAGAAGAAACCAACAUGUAAAGGAGCUGACACUUGGAUCCUGUGCAUGUCUCUCAUCUACACCAGAGACACUAGAGAAUUUCCACUUGCAGGAGAUCUGGCUAGAUGCCAUACAUUAGGUGAUUUUGCACUCAUUUACCAUUCAGGACACUUCAGACUCUGUGUGGAAUUUUUGAUGCUGAGUAGAUCGGAAGCAGUAUCUGAGCCAGUGGGGUGCAAUUCCAGAAAGGGAAAAGAAAAGAAAAUGAACAAGCCUGGAUCCACACCCAGACCAUCAAGACAAAAGCAGCAGACAGAUACAGCAGAGGACCCUCGGGAACAAUGGAGUAUGGAGAACAUAAAUGACCACCCUGAGGACCCAAGUCUCGAAGUCCAUGACUUGGGGACAAGCCAAAAGAACAGUUCAUAUGGCAGAACAAUCCCUAGAGGUGGGCAAUCUGAUCAAUCUUAACUAAGCCAUUUCUCAAAAAAAGAUUUACCCAAUUUUAUGUUAAGAAGUGGCUGCCUCACCCUUUAUUUUGACCCCAGCCCAACUAUUCCAAGGAGCCCUAUCCAUCGCAACUGUAACUGAUCAGAUCUUUCUCCUUCCACAACCUCUUUUCUUGUCAUUCUUCCAGUACUUACUCCCAGUUCCUGGUAGUCAGACCCAAACUCCACUUCCUCAGAGAGUAAAAAAAUGAUUUAUUUGCAAGCAUUUAUUUACUUCAGCUUCGUUUGUUUCAUUUGAGUAAAAAAAAAAAAAGGAGCAGAUCUGGGGACUGCCUGAUAGGAGGUAAAAAGCCUGAGACUCCAAUGAAGCAAAGCUCUGGAGAUAGGGAAGGCAAAAGCCUGAACCCCUCUUGAGCCACAUGACAGCUAAAGUUUAGCACAUAUCUCACCUUUUCUCCCUGAGGCAUGUGGCCUCAAGCUCUCCCCCCUCUCUGUACCCAAUGUACCCACAAAAUCACUGAUGUACGCCUUUUUCCUUGGGAAUCAACCUAAGUUGUUACAUGUUGAUUUAUGAUCUAUAGAAAUCACUGUGUAGACUUGAUGAGGUAAACUAGAUUACAUUUUACCACUUUCCCAAUUAUUUACCUUCAUUGUGUAAGUGGAAACAUACAAAAUCUCCAGCUUGCUUUCUCCCCAUCUAAAAGUAGAUGUAACUUUCAAUAAAGUGCUUCUAGUUGCUAUCA